GACGAACGCUGGCGGCGUGCUUAACACAUGCAAGUCGAACGGUAAGGCCCUUCGGGGUACACGAGUGGCGAACGGGUGAGUAACACGUGGGUGAUCUGCCCUGCACUUCGGGAUAAGCCCGGGAACCUGGGUCUAAUACCGGAUAGGACCAAUGCCUGCAUGGGUGGUGGUGGAAAGCUUUUGCGGUGUGGGAUGGGCCCGCGGCCUAUCAGCUUGUUGGUGGGGUGAUGGCCUACCAAGGCGACGACGGGUAGCCGGCCUGAGAGGGUGACCCGCGACACUGGGGCUGAGAUACGGCCCAGACUCCUACGGGAGGCAGCAGGGGGGAAUAUUGCACAAUGGUCGCAAGCCUGAUGCAUCGACGCCGCGUGAGGGAGGACGGCCUUCGGGUUGUAAACCUCUUUCAGCACCGACGAAGCGCAAGUGACGGUAGGUGCAGAAGAAGGACCGGCCAACUACGUGCCAGCAGCCGCGGAGA
rnacentral:rRNA from 1 species